GCCCCGGUAGCUCAGUGGAUAGAGCAACCGCCUUCUAAGCGGUUGGCCGGGAGUUCGAAUCUUCCCCGGGGCGCCA
rnacentral:tRNA from 1 species